AAACAGGGAUUCUCUGUAUAGCCCUGCUGUCCUGGAACUCAUGCUGCAGAUGAGGCUGACCCUUGAAGUGAGAGAGCUGCUUGCCCCUGCCUUCUUACUGCUGAGAUUAAAGGAGGCAGGGCUGACACAGCGACCUCCUCAUGUGGAAUCACCCGGAACCAUUUCUGUUCCAGCUCUUCUGUUUUUUGGCAAGUGCAUGAUGAGGGAGAUUGCUGUGGAUGCUUCACCUGCAGCUGAGCACUCACACUUACCUAGACCUGACUCAUGGAGAAGUGUAUGAAGAAAAUGCUGCUCUGCCCACCUGACUCAUGGAGAAGUGCACGAAGGAAAUGCUGCUUUGACCAAAGAUGAGAGCAAAACAAACCUAUGGGUAUAAAGAUGAACAUUUAUAAGGCAGUUUGUCAGGGUGGCCAUUAUCAAAAUAACAACAGGAAUGAAGUCGCAGACCCCUGAGGUUGAAUGAAAGAAAGGCUGGAAGAAGCUGAGGAGGAGGGUAACCCCAUAUGAAGACCAGCAGUCUCAACUAACCUGGACCCCCAAGAUCUUGCAGACACUGAUCCACCAACCAGGCAGCAUAUACUAGCUGAUAUGAGGCCCAUGGCGCAUAGACAGCAGAAGACUGCCAGGUCUGGCCUCAGUGAGAGAGAAGAUGCACCUAACCCUUGAGAGACUUGAGGCCCUAGGGAGUGGGGAGGUGUGGCAGGGUGGGGUGGAGUGGGGG
rnacentral:lncRNA from 1 species